rnacentral:rRNA from 1 species
GAGUUUGAUCCUGGCUCAGAUUGAACGCUUGGCGGCAUGCCUUACACAUGCAAGUCGAACCGGCCAGCACGGAGCUUGCUUCUGGUGGCGAGUGGCGCAACGGGUGAUUAAUAUAUCGGAACGUACCCUGGAGUGGGGGAUAACGUAGCGAAAGUUACGCUAAUACCGCAUACGAUCUAAGGAUGAAAGUGGGGGAUUGCAAGACCUCAUGNUAGUGGAGCGGCGGAUAUAUGAUUAGAUAGUUGGUAGGGUAAAAGCAUACCAAGGCAUGGAUCAGUAGCUGGUAUGAGAGGAAGACCAGCCACAUUGGAACUGAGACACGGUCCAGAUUGUUACGGGAGGCAGCAGUGGGGCAUUUUGGACAAUGGGCGAAAGCCUGAUCCAGCAAUGCCGCGUGAGUGAAGAAGGCCUUCGGGUUGUAAAGCUCUUUUGUCAGGGAAGAAACGGUGAGGGCUAAUAUCCCUUGCUAAUGACGGUACCUGAAGAAUAAGCACCGGCUAACUACGUGCCAGCAGCCGCGGUAAUACGUAGGGUGCAAGCGUUAAUCGGAAUUACUGGGCGUAAAGCGUGCGCAGGCGGUUUUGUAAGUCUGAUGUGAAAUCCCCGGGCUCAACCUGGGAAUUGCAUUGGAGACUGCAAGGCUAGAAUCUGGCAGAGGGGGGUAGAAUUCCACGUGUAGCAGUGAAAUGCUGUAGAUAUGUGGAGGAACACCGAUGGCGAUAGUGCAGCCCCCUGGGUCAAGAUUGACGCUCAUGCACGAAAGCGUGGGGAGCAAACAGGAUUAGAUACCCUGGUAGUCCACGCCCUAAACGAUGUCUACUAGUUGUCGGGUCUUAAUUGACUUGGUAACGCAGCUAACGCGUGAAGUAGACCGCCUGGGGAGUACGGUCGCAAGAUUUAAACUCGAAGGAAUUGACGGGGACCCGCACAAGCGGUGGAUGAUGUGGAUUAAUUCGAUGCAACGCGCAAAACCUUACCUACCCUUGACAUGGCUGGAAUCCUCGAGAGAUCGGGGAGUGCUCGAAAGAGAACCAGUACACAGGUG